GGCUGGUCCGAUUACUGUGGGUUAUCGUCACUUACGAAUCUCCCCCCCCACCGUAUAACUUGACUAGUUCAUC